rnacentral:rRNA from 1 species
GGCCAGCCGCCGCGGUAAAACCAGCACCUUUAGUGGUCAGGAUGAUUAUUGGGCCUAAAGCCUCCGUAGCCGGCGCUAUAAGUUUUCGGUUAAAUCUGUACGCUCAACGUACAGGCUGCCGGGAAUACUGUAGCGCUAGGGAGUGGGAGAGGUAGACGGUACUCGGUAGGAAGGGGUAAAAUCCUUUGAUCUAUUGAUGACCACCUGUGGCGAAGGCGGUCUACCAGAACACGUCCGACGGUGAGGGAUGAUAGCUGGGGGAGCAAACCGGAUUAGAUA